rnacentral:rRNA from 1 species
UACGUAGGGACCAAGCGUUGUUCGGAUUUAUUGGGCGUAAAGAGCUCGUAGGCGGUUCGACAAGUCGGGUGUGAAAACUCCGGGCUCAACCCGGAGACGCCACCCGAUACUGUCGUGACUGGAGUCCGGUAGGGGAGUGGGGAAUUCCAGGUGUAGCGGUGAAAUGCGUAGAUAUCAGGAGGAACACCGAUUGCGAAGGCAGCUCGCUGGGACGUUACUGACGCUGAGACGCGAAAGCGUGGGGAGCAAACAGG